ensembl:snRNA U2 U2 spliceosomal RNA
AUCGCUUCUUGGCCUUUUGGCUAAGAUCAAGUGUAGGAAUAAUAUUACAGAAGGAACAAAAGGUAAAAUUUUUUUAUAUUUUUCAUCCCUAAAUGACCUAAU